UCUUCUCCCUGGCUUCUGAGCUCAGCCCUCAAUGCUUGUCUCCUUAGGCCAUUCCCAGGUCCAGUGCACAGUACCACAGAGCAGCUGCCUUUUCUCACUCAGACUGGGAGCUCCUGUGAUCUUAUUUCCCUCAAUCUCCAGGGGAUCAUGGGCCCGUGACAUGGCAGAAAGCAGAGAAAUACUUGCCCAGCAGAACUCCAGCCAGGCGUGACUUCAAUCAUCCACCUGCUCCAGGGGACAUUCGGGCAGACCACCCUGUGCAAAGGCUGUGACGUUGCCACUCUGGAAUAACACGGUCACCAACGUGUAGAGAACCCUCAGCCUGCAGGGCGAUCCCACAGGUCAGCAUGGCUUCCCACUCGUCAAACCUCCUCUCCUCUCUUUAAACUUCACACCUCCUCCCCUGUCCCCUCUGUGGUAACUGCUUCCUAACGAGCCCUUGACGAUCCCAGCCUCCCGGUGCUCACACCCUGUGUAGGCCCGACGCACACACGGAAUUAGAGCUGACCUGUGUGACCAGCAGAAUAUGGCUGAGGA
ensembl:lncRNA novel transcript, antisense to ZNF558